AGGGUUCGAUUCUGGCUCAGGAUGAACGCUGGCGGCGUGCUUAACACAUGCAAGUCGAACGAACCUUCGGGUUAGUGGCGGACGGGUGAGUAACGCGUGGGAAUCUGCCCUCAGGAGGGGGAUAACGGCUGGAAACGGCCGCUAAUACCCCAUAUGCCGAGAGGUGAAAUGAAUUUCGCCUGAGGAUGAGCCCGCGUCUGAUUAGCUAGUUGGUGAGGUAAGAGCUCACCAAGGCAUCGAUCAGUAGCUGGUCUGAGAGGAUGAUCAGCCACACUGGGACUGAGACACGGCCCAGACUCCUACGGGAGGCAGCAGUGGGGAAUUUUCCGCAAUGGGCGAAAGCCUGACGGAGCAACGCCGCGUGAGGGAUGAAGGCCUCUGGGCUGUAAACCUCUUUUCUCAAGGAAGAAGAUCUGACGGUACUUGAGGAAUAAGCCACGGCUAAUUCCGUGCCAGCCGCCGCGGUAAUAC
rnacentral:rRNA from 1 species